CCUACGGGUGGCAGCAGUGGGGAAUAUUGGGCAAUGGGCGCAAGCCUGACCCAGCAACGCCGCGUGAAGGAAGAAGGCUUUCGGGUUGUAAACUUCUUUUAUCAGGGACGAAACAAAUGACGGUACCUGAUGAAUAAGCCACGGCUAACUACGUGCCAGCAGCCGCGGUAAUACGGAGGUGGCACGCGUUAUCCGGAUUUACUGGGUGUAAAGGGCGUGUAGGCGGGCUUGGAAGUCAGAUGUGAAAUUCCAGGGCUCAACCCUGGAACUGCAUUUGAAACUGUAGGUCUUGAGUGCGGGAGAGGCAAUCGGAAUUCCGGGUGUAGCGGUGAAAUGCGUAGAUAUACGGAGGAACACCAGUGGCGAAGGCGGAUUGCUGGACAGUAACUGACGCUGAGGCGCGAAAGCGUGGGGAGCAAACAGGAUUAGAUACCCCAGUAGUC
rnacentral:rRNA from 1 species